rnacentral:rRNA from 1 species
UACGUAGGUGGCAAGCGUUGUCCGGACUUACUGGGCGUAAAGAGCGCGCAGGCGGUCGAUCAAGUCGCGUGUGAAAGCCCCCGGCUCAACUGGGGAGGGUCACGCGAUACUGAUCGACUCGAAGGCAGGAGAGGGUAGUGGAAUUCCCGGUGUAGUGGUGAAAUGCGUAGAUAUCGGGAGGAACACCAGUGGCGAAGGCGACUACCUGGCCUGUUCUUGACGCUGAGGCGCGAAAGCUAGGGGAGCAAACGGG